CCCCUUGAGAGUGGCGAACGGGUGAGUAAUAUAUCGGAACGUGCCCAGUCGUGGGGGAUAACGUAGCGAAAGUUACGCUAAUACCGCAUACGAUCUAAGGAUGAAAGCGGGGGAUCGCAAGACCUCGCGCGAUUGGAGCGGCCGAUAUCAGAUUAGGUAGUUGGUGGGGUAAAGGCUCACCAAGCCAACGAUCUGUAGCUGGUCUGAGAGGACGACCAGCCACACUGGAACUGAGACACGGUCCAGACUCC
rnacentral:rRNA from 1 species